CUUCACUUGUAUGUUUCCUUUUAUUGAGCAUUCUUUUUCACACAAUGAUAUGUUAAAAUACAAUGAUGCAAUAUUCAUACAAUGAUAGCGGUUACACAAAAA
rnacentral:lncRNA from 1 species